AUAAUCAUUAGUCUCUUAAUUAGGGAAUAGAAUGAAGGAUUAAACUGUAAAGUUUUGUAUUAAGUUUAAUAAUAGAAAUUGGGGUUUAAGUGAAAAUUCUUAAGUAAAUUUAGUAGACGAUAAGACCCUAUAGAUCUUUAUUAUCUUUGCUUGUUAUUAAUUAGAGGCGUAGUGAUUAGUUAAAGAUAAUUUUAUUGGGGCAAUAAAAGAAUAAAUUAAAUUUCUUUAUAUAAAAAUAAAAAAUUAUGCAUAAUCUUGAGAUAUAAAAAGUAAAAAGUUACCUUAGGGAUAACAGCGUAAUUAAUUUAAAGAGUCCAAAUCGAUAAGUUAGUUUGCGACCUCGAUGUUGAAUUAAGAAUCCUUAUAGGAGCAGUAUUUUAGAAAGGCAGUUUGUUCAACUGUUAAAUUCUUACAUGAUUUGAGUUCAAACCGGCGUGA
rnacentral:rRNA from 1 species